rnacentral:rRNA from 1 species
CCCUUAGAUGUUCUGGGCAGCACGCGCGCUACAAUGGUCUUCGCAAACGGAUGCAUUCUCGAAGGAGAAUGCCAAUCUUGGAAUCUAUGCCUUGGUCGGGACAGUUGCUUGCAAUUUUUCGACUCGAACCAGGAAUUCCAUGUAAUCGUGAUUCAUCACAUCACGAUGAAUACGUCCCUGCCCUUUGUACACACCGCCCGUCGCUCCUACCGAUCGAAGAGUUAGGUGAAUUGUUUUGAUCGAUAAGAUUUGACUAUGGUCAACUCUCGUUGUGAAAUUCUGUGAAUCUGACUGUUUAGAGGAAGGAAAAGUCGUAACA